AGCGAACGCUGGCGGCAUGCCUAACACAUGCAAGUCGCACGGGGGGGCUUCGGCCUCCCAGUGGCGGACGGGUGAGGAACGCGUAGGGACCUGUCGAGGGGUGGGGGAUAACCGCGGGAAACUGCGGCUAAUACCGCAUGACGCCGCGGCGUGACAGCCGGGGCCAAAGGCGAAAGCCGCCCGCCGAGGGGCCUGCGUCCGAUUAGCUGGUUGGCGGGGUAGCGGCCCACCAAGGCGUCGAUCGGUAGCUGGUCUGAGAGGGUGAUCAGCCACACCGGGACUGAGACACGGCGCGGACUCCUACGGGAGGCAGCAGGGGGGAAUAUUGGACGAUGGGCGCAAGCCUGAUCCAGCAAGGCCGCGUGGGUGAAGAAGGUCUUCGGAUUGUAGAGCCCUUUCGGCGGGGACGAUGGUGACGGUACCCGCAGAAGAAGCCCCGGCAAACUUCGU
rnacentral:rRNA from 1 species